rnacentral:rRNA from 1 species
CCUACGGGAGGCAGCAGUGGGGAAUAUUGCACAAUGGGCGAAAGCCUGAUGCAGCAACGCCGCGUGAAGGAAGAAGGCUUUCGGCUCGUAAACUUCUAUCAACAGGGACGAAAGAAAUGACGGUACCUGAGGAAUAAGCCCCGGCUAACUACGUGCCAGCAGCCGCGGUAAUACGUAGGGGGCAAGCGUUAUCCGGAAUUACUGGGUGUAAAGGGGGGGUAGGCGGCGUUGUAAGCCAGAUGGGAAAGCCCUGGGCUUAACCCGAGGAUUGCUCUUGGAACUAUGUGGCUGGAGUACAGGAGGGGCAGGCGGAAUUCCUGGUGUAGCGGUGAAAUGCGUAGAUAUUAGGAAGAACACCAGUGGCGAAGGCGGCUUGCUGGACUGAAACUGACGCUGAGGCCCGAAAGCGUGGGGAGCGAACAGGAUUAGAUACCCCAGUAGUC